rnacentral:rRNA from 1 species
GUAGGUGGCAAGCGUUGUCCGGAAUUAUUGGGCGUAAGGCGCGCGCAGGCGGUUCUUUAAGUCUGAUGUGAAAGCCCACGGCUCAACCGUGGAGGGUCAUUGGAAACUGGAGAACUUGAGUACAGAAGAGGAAAGCGGAAUUCCACGUGUAGCGGUGAAAUGCGUAGAGAUGUGGAGGAACACCAGUGGCGAAGGCGGCUUUCUGGUCUGUAACUGACGCUGAGGCGCGAAAGCGGGGGGAGCAAACAGGGAUUAGAUACCCUGGUAGUCCACGCCGUAAACGAUGAGUGCUAAGUGUUAGGGGGUUUCCGCCCCCUUAGUGCUGCAGCUAACGCAUUAAGCACUCCGCCUGGGGAGUACGGCCGCAAGGCUG